rnacentral:rRNA from 1 species
GAUGAACGCUAGCGGCGUGCCUAAUACAUGCAAGUCGAGCGAACAGAUGAGGAGCUUGCUCCUCUGACGUUAGCGGCGGACGGGUGAGUAACACGUGGAUAACCUACCUAUAAGACUGGGAUAACUUCGGGAAACCGGAGCUAAUACCGGAUAAUAUAUUGAACCGCAUGGUUCAAUAGUGAAAGACGGUUUUGCUGUCACUUAUAGAUGGAUCCGCGCCGCAUUAGCUAGUUGGUAAGGUAACGGCUUACCAAGGCGACGAUGCGUAGCCGACCUGAGAGGGUGAUCGGCCACACUGGAACUGAGACACGGUCCAGACUCCUACGGGAGGCAGCAGUAGGGAAUCUUCCGCAAUGGGCGAAAGCCUGACGGAGCAACGCCGCGUGAGUGAUGAAGGUCUUCGGAUCGUAAAACUCUGUUAUUAGGGAAGAACAAAUGUGUAAGUAACUAUGCACGUCUUGACGGUACCUAAUCAGAAAGCCACGGCUAACUACGUG